UACGAAGGGGGCUAGCGUUGCUCGGAAUCACUGGGCGUAAAGCGCACGUAGGCGGGUCGUUAAGUCGGGGGGUGAAAUCCUGGAGCUCAACUCCAGAACUGCCUUCGAUACUGGCGACCUUGAGUCCGGGAGAGGUGAGUGGAACUCCGAGUGUAGAGGUGAAAUUCGUAGAUAUUCGGAAGAACACCAGUGGCGAAGGCGGCUAUCUGGACGGUUUCUGACGCUAAGACGCGAAAGCGUGGGGAGCAAACAGG
rnacentral:rRNA from 1 species